CUAGUGGGCUACAGUCCGUGGGGUUGUAGAGUUGGACAUGACUGAGCCACUAACACACACACACCCUUUACUAACUCAGGCAAGUUAUAAAAUAUCUCUGAGGCUCAUCCUGUGAAAACGGGUAUAGUAAUACCUGCCUUGUAGAGCUAAUAUGAGAGUAAUGUACAUAAAGUACAGUAUCAGACCCUCAGUAGGAAUUAUUAUUGUCAUUAUUAUACACAGAUUUCUUGUUGAACAUUUAUGGAAAAUUUAGAGAAAUUAAUCAUAUACUAGGAUACAUGAAGUUUCUUAAAGCUAAAGUUGUGUAGAAAUAGUAUUAACUCUGCAGGCAAGGGCGAGUGUAAUGUUCAUUAUUUGUAAAUGAUGUGGCUAUAUACCUAGGAGUCUAAAUAAUUGAAAAAAAUAAACGGCUGGAUAUAUAAAAAUUAAUAGCAUUUAUGUACCCAGAAAAUAAAUGAAGGAAAAUUUUCAUUGCUGAGCUCAACAAAAUGAAGAAACUGCCUAGGAAUAAUGGUGGAGACAUGCAGAACAAAGCAUUACUGAGGAAUAUUUUUUUGUCUUGAGGAAAUAAAGGGAACUUCCAUAUUCCUUAAUGGAAAGAGGAAAUAUAAUGAGUGUUUUUUUUUUUUUUCCUUGUCUUCAUACAGUUUCCAUCAAGCUAGUUUGUUUGGGGGUUUGAUUUAAUUAUCUUGGAAGUUUAUCAUAAACAAACAUGAAGGUAACUAAGAACAAUUGAAAAAGUAAUGACGCAGAAGUGCCUACCUAGCAGUAUAAAGCGCGCUUCUCGCGUGAGGCUGCGAGUCAGUGACUAGGUCAGUGCAGGUUCAGCAGCACGCGUGCGUGUGUGUGUGUGUGUGUGGAGCAGAAUAGCCAGAAACAGGCUUUAUGUAAGCGAAAGAUUCUGUAAACUAUUCUAUAAGUUUUACUUACGUGGGAGAUGGGAAAGAAUUAGAUCUUUGCCAAAGUAAAUUCUGUGUACAUUCAUUGUUUGGCUUUGAUUUCUUUUUUUAAUUAAAGUUUCUAUGUCUUUAGCUCUCUGAACUGAUAGAGGACAAAAGUACUGGGAGAAAGGAUUUGCAAAAAUGACAGGGAAAUAAUAUCUCUACUAGAAAUUUGAGAGGAUUUAUCAUAUGCAUUUUUAAAAACCUAGGAGUAAUUUUUCUAGCUACUUACUGUACAGAUUGUAGAGAAGUAGGUAUGGACUUAAAAACAGAAGUAGACGAUGGGCUUUUGCACAGUCUUAGUCAUGAAAUUAUUAAUAAUUGCCAGUAAUACUGAAUCAAAGUGACCUGGGUGUCAGUGAAUAAAGAAAUGGUAGAAUUUGUGGUUUACCUUCUAUUGCCUAUAUUUUUGAUGAAAUACUAUACAGUAGCAUUAAAAUUUUUACUGUUGAUUUAUUUUAUCAAAUUAAUCUCCUAAAAACAGUACAGUACUACUUUUGAAUUAAAUUUCAGUCAUCUGAAUGUUGACUCUGUAAGAAUACUAUUGUUAUGACCAAAUAAAAAUUUUCCAUGGAAUGUAAAUGAGGUUCAAUACUUGAAAUUUUAUUCAUAUAAUAAUUUAUUAGCAAACCAAAUGGAAGAGGAGGGAGUAAUAGCAUAGUAAAUGUGAUUUUAAUGAUAAAUCUAAUAAAAUAACAUACUGAAUGAUUUUCUUAUUUUACAUCUAUCUGAAAACAGUUGCCAGGUAUACUUCAUGUUGAAAAAUAGAGUAAACCUUCUAAAUGGGUUAUCAGAUUAUCCCAGUAUUACCAUUCUUAUUUAACAACAUUUAGAAUUGUUGUCCAAACUGAUUAUCAAAAAAAAAAAAAAAACCUAAAAAACAAUGAGCUAAAAGUUUUGGUAAAGAGGAUGUAUAGAUUAUCAUUGUAUACAAAUAAUAUGCUUCUCUACUUAGAAAAGCCAACAGAAUUAACUGAAAAGCUAGUAGAGGUCAAUAGGGUAGCUAGAUAUAAAAAUGUGUACCAUACUGAAUGAUUUCCUUACCUGUUAGCAGUGACAUCUAACUGACAUAGGGAGAAGUGCAUCUACUUAACAGUAGUAACGGAAAAUAGAGAACACUGGAGAAUAGACCUAAUUUAGAAAUGCGGCAAAUCUGUAAUGAAGCAGUAUAAUGGAUUCUCUGGCGGUCCAGUUGUUAGGACCCCACGUUCUUACUGUCGAGGGCCUGGGUUCAACCCCAUAAGCUGUCAAAAUAUUAAUAAUAAUGAUGAGCAAUAUGAAUGAAGGCAUAAGUAGGUGAAAGAUCAUGCCACAGUGCUCAGUGAGAAUUCUCCACAGAUUACUCAUGAAUUUAAUACAGCCCCAAUCAGCCUUGGGAAGGGGAAGUAUCAGCAUAGUUGACCAACGAUUUCUACAAUUCAUUGACAUGAACAAGUAUGCUAGAAUAGGCAAAAUAAUUUGGAGAGCUAGAAUAGAAUAACUGGAAUUGUCCAAACAAUUUUACUAAAAGUGUACAGAAUAACAUUCAGAACUAAACUUAGUAUCUAGUAGGAUAAAUGUCAUAUUUCAAAUCAGUAUAGAAAUAUGAUUAUUCUAUAAUUACAAAAUAAUUUGGAAGAAUAUGCUAGCCAUUUGCCCUUUCAAAAGGUUAGAACAUUCUGAGUUAAAUUCGAAAAUUAAAUAUGGAGAUAAUGGAAAAAUAGGUCAUUUUUAUAGUCUUGGGGUGGGGUGACAAAGACAUGUCUGAGGCAGAAAAUAAAGGAAAUAGUUGAUACAUUUGACUAAAUACAAAUAUAAACUUUGUAUAGCUAAAAAAGACUUAAUAAAAUCAAAAUAUAAUUAUAACAUUUUUGUCACUGUAAUGGAAAGAUUUUUACUAUGAGUGAAGAUAGCAGUUAUUUAUUCAGUGUAAUUUAGACAAGGAAUCAGUAAGGCCAUGUUAAGAAAGAGAUUGAAAAAAAAAGAAAAGAAACAGAUUGAGAUGAAAAUACCCCAGGACAUUAGCAGUGCAUUAAUUUGUGAAUAUGAUUUCAAGUUAAAUAUGUGUUUCAAUAUGUGGAUGUUUGUUUAUAUAUCUUGGGAAUUACUUAAGUUAAA